rnacentral:rRNA from 1 species
UACGUAGGGGGCAAGCGUUGUCCGGAAUUACUGGGCGUAAAGAGCAUGUAGGCGGAUAUUUAAGUCAGCUGUGAAAACUAUCGGCUCAACCGGUAGACUGCAGUUGAUACUGGGUAUCUUGAGGGUAUGAGAGGGCAGUGGAAUUCCUAGUGUAGCGGUGAAAUGCGUAGAUAUUAGGAGGAACACCAGUGGCGAAGGCGACUGCCUGGCAUACAACUGACGCUGAGAUGCGAAAGCGUGGGGAGCAAACAGG